AGCAUCAGGUUGGUGAAAUUAGGGAUGGCGUGAUGAAUGAUGAAUUUUAAGCCAUGUUAUACAGUCGUCCGACUAAUCGCGAUUAGUCGCGAUUAGUCGACCUUAUCGCUCCGCUGGCUUCGAUAAGUGAAACGACUAGCUUUUGUCGAUCAAAUGUCUGAUCGUCCGACUAAUCGUCGCCUAAUCGCGAUUAGUCGUCCGACUAGCUACUUGGACGAUCAGGCCAAAACCAAAAGAUGUCCAGCAGACCAGCACUCCAGCCCGCCGCCCGUACUGGGCUCAAUUAGGCCCAUUAGCUACUUGCUGGUUGCCUGCUGCCCUGGUUUAGUUGUGUUCUUUUUAAAUUUUGAAUUACUUGCUCACUUGCUGUAAUGCUGUUACAUAUUUAAUUUCAGCUACUGACUUCAGUUUUUCUCUUUGUAAUUACAGUUUCAGCAGCAGAACAGCAAGGAUAUGGAGUGUGGGACAAGAUUAUGGAGUUUUGGACAGUUCAAACAUCAAAUCUCACAAAUGGAACAGCCUCCUUGCUACGCCUCCUGGAUAUGUUUUACGAUGAGCGACACCGUGGCAAGAUACAUGAGGAGCGUACAUAGGUUUUGAAGCCUCUACGUUCCUGCCUUCACAAGCCUCUCACAUGGAACGAUUGGUAUGCACCGUACCUCAAAUGGGCUAGAUUCCUCCCAUUGGCAUGGUUGGUCAAGGAAGGGCUCCCCAAGAUGGACAAUGCAGCUUUGAUAGCACUUUGUAGACCGGUGGAGGCCUGAGACACACACAUUCCACCUUCCCGCCAGUGAGAUGACAGUUACACUACAAGAUGUGGCCAUGCUGUUUGGGCUUCGUAUAGAUGGCAGAGCCAUGACCGGUACCAUAUCUCCAAUUGGAUGGAGAGAUAGAGUGGAGUUGUUUGGAGUCCGCCCACCUAAACCACCAAAAGACACCAAGAACAAGAAGCCUACAGUAGUGACCUCAGCAUGGAUGGCGGAGCACUUUGGUACGCCACCUGCAGCUGAUGCUCAGGAAGAGCUGGUUGCUAGGUUUGCCCGAGCGUGGCUAUGGCAACUGGUCGCAGGGUUCCUAUUCCCGAAUUCCAGCGGGAACACAAUCUCUUGGAUGUGGCUAGAAAUAAUUGGUCAGGACUGGGACAACAUUGGCACUUUCAACUGGGGGAAUGCAACACUAUUGGAUGGUUGUACCGUCAAAUGUGUGAUGCUUGUAGGAGGAGUGGAAAUAAUGCAAACCUUGGCGGUUGUGCUUAUCUAUUGUAGUUGUGGAUGUGGGAGCGCCUUCCUGUUGGCCGGCGGGAGCGGCAUGCUCAUGGGGUAAGUACAUUAUUUUCGAUAAUAGCUUGGCACUACUAGCGUAUGAUUUAC